rnacentral:rRNA from 1 species
GUGGGGAAUAUUCCGCAAUGGACGAAAGUCUGACGGAGCAACGCCGCGUGAGUGAUGAAGGUUUUCGGACUGUAAAGCUCUGUUGUUUAGGACGAAAGUGCCUGUUGCAAAUAGUUACAGGUAUUGACGGUACUGAACGAGGAAGCCACGGCUAACUACGUGCCAGCAGCCGCGGUAAUACGUAGGUGGCAAGCGUUGUCCGGAAUUAUUGGGCGUAAAGAGCAUGUAGGCGGGAAUCUAAGUCUGUUGUGAAAAUGCGGGGCUCAACCCCGUAUUGCGAUGGAAACUGGGUUUCUUGAGGGCAGGAGAGGAAAGGGGAAUUCCCAGUGUAGCGGUGAAAUGCGUAGAUAUUGGGAGGAACACCAGUGGCGAAGGCGCCUUUCUGGACUGUGUCUGACGCUGAGAUGCGAAAGCCAGGGUAGCGAACGGGAUUAGAAACCCUGGUAGUCC